AAGUCGUAACAAGGUUUCCGUAGGUGAACCUGCGGAAGGAUCAUUAACACGUAUCCAAACGUAAAAAACCCCCCCCGUGAACAUUCAAUCCUGCUCUUGUAACCCGCGUAGUUCGCAAUCUCUGGUAAAUCAUAGCCCGGAAAGUAGUUUUGAUUCAGAGACCUCUGGCUACGUGAGAACAUUGGAACAGUUACAAUCGAGCGGUAGUUUCAUAGGCAUUGUUUCCCCAAGCAGUCAGUGUCUGAAAGUGUCACCGAUUCCUGUAGACCGUACACUCGGGCAGGAGCUAUGCCAAAGGGUCCCCAUGCCCCCUUAUAACCCCACAGUUUAAUGUGAAGCUCAAUGUAAUACAUUGGGUAAAAAAACCGAACAACUGUUAACAAUGGAUAUCUUGGUUCUC
rnacentral:misc_RNA from 1 species